AUUAGAAAAAAACAGUUUAUGUCAUCUAGUUUUCCUUUAAGUCAAAGCCAUUUUUUUCAGAUGGAACUUUGGACGAUCUUACAUACAAGUCACUUCUUGUGUCACUUAAAAUUAACAAAAGAGAUAACAAGAUCAUUUCUGCCUUUCUUUAAAGCAGUGUUUUACUUCUGUAGUCAUUUGGAUAAAUGUAUGCAAUUUAAUUAUUCUGGCAUUUAGUCAGAUUUUUUUCUUGUCUUAGUAAGCUGUGAUAUAUUUCGUAACCUGCUUGGCUCCGUGAAUAUGAAGUAUAAUCGAUUGUCGGUUUUUCAUUUCAUACCAUGAAAUUUUUAGAAGAUUUAACAUUUUUUUAAGAUUGGUUUAGACGUUUUCAAAUUCCUUUCCUUUUCAACGUCCUUGUCUUUUAAUACAAUGAUUAUUCUUUUUUACGCAUUGCUUCUGCACUCAUCAGUCCUGUGCGCAAAGAGUCGCUGUCCACCAAGAAAACGCACAUUCAAAUAUCCUAUCCCACUUCCAUUGUCGCCAUUACGGUUUCCGAUUCUGACGACAGCAUUGCAGUUUUUCUUUCAAGCGGAGCUGUCCGAUCUUUUACACAAUUGUCUGUUUGGGUUUUGCAUUUAUAUCUCUUCAUGGUCGAUUUCUUUAUUUGAACAUAUUUUGGACCCUUCAUGUGACUGCAUUUGCAAGGUACUCAAAACAAUGGAGCAAAAAGAUCUGCUUUGGAUAAGGUAUGUCGCGGCCUUCAUAUCUUUUUCGGCUUUCUUUCAGACCGUAUUUGCUGUUACGCACUACACUAUUCCUGAGGAAAUGGACGAAGGAUCAGUGGUUGCAAAUUUGGUGUCUGAUCUGGGGCUGGAUUUGAAAAGUCUCAGUAAACGUAAAAUGCGUUUAGAUGUCGUUGCCAACAAGAAAUAUCUCGAAAUUAACAAAGACACAGGGGAACUGUACAUUUUGGAAAAACUCGAUAGAGAGAAUCUAUGCACAUCAAAAUCAGCCACAACAUGUGUACUUAAAGUGGACGCAACUUUGGAGAAUCCGAUUCGAAUGUUUAAUAUUGAACUAGAAAUAAUAGAUAUAAAUGAUAAUGCACCAAGUUUCCGACGGGAUACGAUGCACUUAGACAUAUCAGAGGCAACUGCUGUAGGGGAGAGGUUUUCUCUCACUAACGCUGUAGACCCCGACACAGGUUCAAACUCCGUGAAGACGUACUAUUUAAGUGAAAGCGACCAUUUUUCUAUUGAGAUCCAGACAGGACGAGAUGGAUCUAAAUUUGCUGAUUUGAUACUUAAAAAGGCUUUAGACAGAGAACAACAAGAUUCACAUAAUUUGAUACUCACUGCUGUGGAUGGAGGAGUCCCCGCGCGCUCCGGCACAGCUAGCAUUAUUGUGCGCGUACUGGACACGAAUGACAACGCCCCUCAAUUCGAUAAAGACAGUUAUACUAUAAAUUUAACUGAAAAUUCGCCGAUUGGAAGCCUCGUUGUAAAAUUAAAUGCAUCAGAUAAAGACGAGGGCUCAAAUGCAGAUAUAAUUUACUCUUAUAGUCUUUACACAUCAGAGAAAACACAGCAGACAUUCAGUCUGAAUCCUGACAAUGGAGAAAUCAGAGUGAAAGAAAUGAUAAAUUACGAGGAUUUUAGGAUAUACGACAUGGAAAUUAUAGCAACAGAUAAAGGAGUCAAUAGUCUCUCUGGAAAGUGUAAAGUAAAGAUUUUAGUCACAGAUAUGAAUGACAAUCAUCCUGAAAUAUCUAUAAAAUCAUUGUCUAGUCCAGUGAAAGAGGAUAUACCUGUAAAUACAGUGAUUGCUGUUGUAAGUGUGAGUGAUAAGGACUCAGGAGAAAAUGGACAGGUAGAUAUCCAUAUUUCUGAUCAUUUACCCUUUGCUCUAAAAGAAUCAUCUGAUAAUUAUUAUGAGUUAAUAGUUUCAGAACCGUUAGACCGAGAAAAAAGCGCAGAAUAUGACAUCACUAUUACUGUGACUGACAGGGGCAACCCACCGUUAUCUGAUAAUGAAACUAUAACUUUAGAGCUACUGGAUGUUAACGACAAUGUUCCUCAGUUCCCUCAGUCGUUCUACAAGAUACCUGUUACGGAGAAUAACCCACCAGGAGCUUUACUGAGCUCUUUAACUGCCAUAGACCCAGAUCUCCAUGAAAAUCAAUAUCUAGUUUACUUUAUAAUAGAAAAGGAAAUUGUCAACACCUCCAUGUCCAUGCUGUUCUCCAUUAAUCCAGAGAACGGUAAUCUUUACGCGCUAAAGACGUUUGAUUAUGAGAUAGAGAAGGAGUUUCUUUUCCACAUCGAGGCCCGAGACUCUGGUGUCCCUCCGCUCAGCAGUAACGUGACCGUUCACAUUAUUAUCAUGGAUCAGAACGACAACACGCCUGUUAUAGUGUCUCCAUGGCGCGCGCACGGCUCUGUGGUUGAGGAAAAGAUCCCGAGGUCCACCGAUAAAGGAACUCUGAUAUCCAAAGUCAUUGCGAUAGACUCUGAUUCAGUGCACAACUCACGAAUCACGUACCAGUUUCUCCAGAACACUGACGCUACGUUAUUCAGCUUGGAUCAGUACAACGGAGAGAUUCGUACCAUGAGAAUGUUCAGCUACAGAGACUCCCGUCACCAGCGGCUGGUGGUGAUCGCCAAGGACAACGGAGAGCCCGCGCUCUCUGCUACAGUUACAAUCAAACUGUCGACGGUAGAGAUUGCCCUUAAAACCUAUGCUGACAUGACUGAAGUGCCUUUGGAAUAUGACAUCUUCUCAGAUUUAAACCUGUAUCUGGUGAUCGGACUGGGCUCUGUAUCAUUUCUGUUACUUAUCACCAUACUUGUCACCAUCGUUCUUAAGUGUCAGAAACCAAAGCCAAGUAAAGCGGCUCCUUCUUGCAGGAACAGUGUUAUCAGUGAGAGAAACUCGACCAUCGCAGAUUCUACUUUGGUCUCCAACGAUGCCUACUGGUACAGUUUAUUUCUAGCGGAGACGAGGAAAGGAAAGCUGGUGGUUAGACAGCCUGUGCCAAAGGGCGCGAGAUACAUCGUUUCCAGUAUACCGAGGAGCACCGGAAUGACUGAGACCAGUGACUCUGCUGCAUCUACUCUACAGUACUCAAAAUGAACGAGGUCCCUUCUCACGCUGGAGGUAUGCAGACUUGACUAUUCUCUCGAUUUCUGGAGCGCCUGACCCAAGCGCCCUUUGACCUUUACUGAAAUAUACGCUUCUACUACCACCAGUAGCAGUUCCACCUGAGAACCCGCCAACAUCUUAUCGACCUGCCUACCUGCUCCAUCCUACAGAGAUGAAACGGACCCAAGAUGACGCCUGCAUUUUCACAUCAAUGUUUGGAAGAAUUGUCUUCACCUUGAAUUCUCUUCCUCAUUAAUCUCACGGCCAGAAGAAUGACAUAAAGAUAAGAGAUCAUCUUUACCUGCCCGGUCGAGAUUGGAUUUGGACUGGGCCUGUAAGCAAGCACACAUUCACACACAAAAAUGGUUAAACACAGAAUAUACCAUGGAAAAUUAUAAUUACUAUAAAUAAACCCAUACCCAAAAUGUAAACUUUUUGCAUAAUACAUGCUUGUGUGUGCAUGAUCUUGAAAUGACACUAAAAGAGACGUUAAACAUUGAACUGGAGUUGAGUUAAAAGGACAUUAAGUGAAAUGAACAAGCACAGAAUGGACAAUUUGGGCUUUGAAAGCUUUUUUCCUAUACCAGAUGUUUAAAGCAUUUCUUACGUGUGUUUUCUUUGAUUUCAUGAAGACUUUAAAACAACGCAAGUAUUAUCCAGUAUUUAUAUGUAUAUACAUAUAGUAGAUCACAGCAGUCAGUCUCUUGUAUAAACUCUGCUCUUGUCUGUAGUGUUGUAUUAUGUCUGUGUCAGUAUUUCUUUAAUUUUGUAAAUAAUCAGGUUUUAAUAUAAGCCCGGAUCUAGCAUAGAACGAGAAUAGAGUUGGAAAGGAUUUGUUAAUAUGAUUUACAUUGAUUAUCACAUAAUGGCCUGGUUUCACAGACAAGGUUUAGCUAAAGCCAGGACUAGGCCUUAGUUAAAUUAAGAUGUUUAAGCAUUUUAUAAACCUGCCUAAGAAAAGAUGUUACUGGUGUGAAUCUUAAAACAAAUCAAUGUCAGUAGCAUAUUUUAAGAUCUGUCAGUGAUAGUUAUUUUCUGCUGAGACACCUCCAACAUGUGUCUUAGUCUAGGACUAGCCUUAAGCCUUGUCUGUGAAUCUGGGGCAAGGGUUUAGUAGAGGCUGUAAAAAAGUAAUAUCAUAGUGAAUGUAAAAUGAUGAGUGACUAUUUUCCCUAAACUAAUCCUUUGAGAUAAAUAAGUAUUUUUUUUAUUAAUCAGUUCCUCAUUUUUGACUUACAGAAAACAACACAACUCAGUGCUGUUUCAAUAAUCGAGACAAACAGAUAGGUCAGCCAAGGCCAAAAAAACUCAGUGUAAGAAAUUUUUCAGCCUCCACUAAAACUGAUAAAGCCAAAAACAAUAUUUUUUAGGAUGUGUUUGCCAGUUCUGUUUUUUAAGUGAUUUGUUUCUCUAAGGGGCAGUUUCCUGGACAGGGUUUAGAUGAAUCCAGAACAAGGCCUUAUUAGGACAUUUAAGAAGUUUCUACAAACAAACCUUACAAAAAACAAUACUGAUGCAUCUUGGGACUAUAUAUAUAUAUAUAUGAAAUAGUCACGUAUUUGCGUGAUAUUGGGUUGCUAUAUAUAUAUAUAGUCUUGGACUGAGAUAAGACCUGUCUGGGAAACAAGCCCAUUAUCUUGGUUGAGUACAGUAUCUCUUUAAGAAAAAAGCCUGCAGUUAUUUUUAACUGGAAUCCCAAUCGAGGAAUCCAUGUGAGAGGUUUUACUUGAUUUAAUUCUUAUGUGUGUAAUGUAGUCACUCUCUGAUGGUGAAUGAUUUUGCUUUAUACCAUAAGAAUAGUUGCAAGAGCUUUUAUUUUAAAUACUUUUUAUCUGAUAUUAUGGAUGUGGUAGUUUUAAUGCUUUACCAAAAUGACAGUAAAUUAAAAAAGCAAAAGUAAAUUGCAUUCUGCAUUGAAACAUUUUCUGUGGCCUGGUGUUAACAGUGUUACUGAUUUUAAGUCAAACUGCUGCUUUGAAUAAAUAAUAUUUUUAUUUGCUGGCUACUACAGUGGUGCAAUAUGUAGAUGUUAAUGUUUUAUUUCAGUGAACAAUAUUAUGAUGUUUUUUACUGCCUUUUUAAAAUGUCACUUACGGAAAUUCAUAAUAAUCACGGCUUUCUGAUGGUUUGACUUUUUUUCCCAGGGCAGCAACUAUCAGUAGGUCAUAAGGUGUCAGUGAUGAUGUAGGCUAAAGUUCUGACUUUAACUUAGCUAUUCACUUUUAACUUUGAUUUUCUGUUUAAAGAAAGUAAAUGCUGCAACCUUUCAAUAUUAAAGCAGCAGUGUUGUAAAAUGACUCUUACAAUACAAAUGUGGGAGAGGGGAGAGCCAACUGCUCAAUGUCAGAAGUAGGUCACUGUCACUGCUAGAAUAAUUUACCCAUAAGCCUCAUUUUGUGAUGGGCUGUAUAUAGUGGUUGUUCAUAAAGCAUGACAUGUCAUUGCUGUAGACUUGUCAUUGCUCUCUGUCCAGUGAACCUUUAUCCAGUUUUUAUUGACUAUGACCUGCAAAUGUGUUUUAUGAUUCUCUGUUGCUACUUUUGUUCUUAAGCAGCUAUCUUACACAUUUGACCUGCUUGGGCAAAACUCACCUUUGAUUACGAUUUUGAUAUUUGUACCGCAUUUUUGAUGGAUUAAAACCUCAAGUGUGUCAUUUAUUCAUGUGGUAAGAUGUUUCAUUUGUAACAUGUUCAGCUUUAAGUGACUUAUCAACCUGUAACAACAACCAAUCUGUGGAUUGUGCAAAUAUGCAUUGAAGUAAACGUUUAUAAACAAGUUGUUUAUAUAGUACAUUCUUUGUUUAAAAUAAGAAGAUAAUGAUUGUAUAUUAAUCAUCAUGAUAGGACCUGUAAUUAUCAAUGAUACUACAUUGCAUGAUUUUCAGCUGUGUCUGUAAGAGUUUGGGUGGGUGAGGGGUAACCAUGAGGUCAUCACUGCAUAUGAUGUGGUGCAGUAAACAUAAUCAGAAUGCUAAGUUAAUUUCCUGUUUUUUGUUAAAACUUAAACCCUAUUCAUACACUUAAAUAAUGAAUUUGUUCAGGUCUUCUGUAAAUUUAGAAAAAAAUAAAGCAUUGAAUACUGUC